UAAUGGGUUGUUCAGGCUUGG
rnacentral:misc_RNA from 1 species